rfam:Rattus norvegicus chromosome 7, whole genome shotgun sequence.
GGGGAUUUAGCUCGGUGGUAGAGCGCUUGCCUAGCAAGUGGCCCUGGGUUCAGUCCCCAGCUCCG